UUGCUUUUGGCAGUAUAUAUGCUAAAAUUAGAAUGACACAGGGAGGGGUAGUAUGGUCCCUGCGUAGGACAACACAUAAACUCAUAAGGCGUUCCCUAUUUAU
ensembl:snRNA U6 U6 spliceosomal RNA